rnacentral:rRNA from 1 species
GACGAACGCUGGCGGCGUGCUUAACACAUGCAAGUCGAACGGGUCUGCCCUGUUUUUUGCGGGGUGGGUCAGUGGCGAACGGGUGAGUAACACGUGAGUAACCUGCCCCUCACUUCUGGAUAACCGCUUGAAAGGGUGGCUAAUACGGGGUGUUCUGGCUGUGCCGCAUGGUGUGGCUGGGAAAGAUUCACUUUUGUGGUGUUUUGGUGGGGGAUGGGCUCGCGGCCUAUCAGCUUGUUGGUGGGGUGAUGGCCUGCCAAGGCUUUGACGGGUAGCCGGCAUGAGAGGGUGGGCGGUCACACUGGGACUGAGAUACGGCCCAGACUCCUGCGGGAGGCAGCAGUGGGGGGUAUUGCACAAUGGGCGGAAGCCUGAUGCAGCGACGUCGCGGGAGGGAUGGAGGCCUUCGGGUUGUGAACCUCUUUCGCCGGUGAAGAAGGUCCUGCUCUUUGUGGUGGGGUUGACGGUAGCCGGGUUAUGAAGCGCCGGCUAACUACGUG